UACUGGCUUCAGCAGCACAUUAAAUUUGGAGCAAUACAGAGAGGAUUAGCAUGGUCCUGGUGCAAGGAUGACACUCGAAUUCAUGAAGCAUGCCACAGUUUU
rfam:Otolemur garnettii contig062455, whole genome shotgun sequence.